rnacentral:rRNA from 1 species
GCUUGUUGGUGAGGUAACGGCUCACCAAGGCGACGACGGGUAGCUGGUCUGAGAGGAUGGCCAGCCACAUUGGGACUGAGAGACGGCCCAGACUCCUACGGGAGGCAGCAGUGGGGAAUCUUGCGCAAUGGCCGAAAGGCUGACGCAGCGACGCCGCGUGGGGGAUGAAGGGUUUCGGCUCGUAAACCCCUGUUGCCCGGGACGAACGUCUGAUUUCGACCAGAGUGACGGUACCGGGUGAGGGAGCACCGGCUAACUCCGUGCCAGCAGCCGCGGUAAUACGGAGGGUGCGAGCGUUGUCCGGAAUCACUGGGCGUAAAGGGCGCGUAGGUGGCAGGUCAAGCGUGCGGUGAAAGCUCGGGGCUCAACCCCGAGUCGGCCGUGCGAACUGGCCAGCUGGAGCAUUGUAGAGGCAGAUGGAAUUCCGGGUGUAGCGGUGGAAUGCGUAGAGAUCCGGAAGAACACCGGUGGCGAAGGCGGUCUGCUGGGCAAUAGCUGACACUGAGGCGCGACAGCGUGGGGAGCAAACAGGAUUAGAUACCCUGGUAGUCCACGCCGUAAACGAUGGGCACUAGGUGCUUGGGGGAGCGACCCUCUGAGUGCCGGCGCUAACGCAUUAAGUGCCCCGCCUGGGGAGUACGG